GAUGGGCAACUGUUUUGAAGGUUUA
rnacentral:misc_RNA from 1 species